UGGAAAAAACCCUUUGGCUUUUUGUAGUUAAUUGUAAAGUCUCGUAUAAUUAAUACAGUAUUUUUGAACGAGCGAAUAAUGAAGAAGUCAAACGAUCUUUGGAUGAUAGUACUUUUUAUUACCAUAUCAAGUACUCAGCAGCCUGAAUUUUGUGAUCUACGUUGCGCAGGUUUUGGAAAUUGCUGCCCACCAGGAUAACCUAAAGGUUUUUGUUUCAGCUUAAAUGAGUUCCUGUGUCUUGUUGCUUGUUGCUUUUACAACUAGUUUUGAGUAAAUGAGCAAUUUUAAAAGCCUAUAUUCGUCAUUUAUUUUAUGGUUUGCUAAUAGCAAGUAUAAACUGUACAACGUAGUAACAUAGUGAAAUAAUGAUUGCUUCAAAUCAGUGUUUCGUUGUUUGGUUGAUUUAAAGAAAGAUUUGAUUAAAGGCAUUCCAAAUAAAAUGUUUUCUCAAAUUUAAUUGCUACUUGUUAAAAUUAUCUGCGAAUUUAUUUAUUAAAAUAUUGCACCUUUCUUAACUAACGAAAGGUUCUCAUGUUCUAAUCUGCAUUAGUUAACUCCAUUUUCUAAAUGUAAAAAAAAUUAAAAUACAGAAAGAUACCUUUUCAGAAUAUGCUUUUGUUUUUUGUUUAAUAAAAUAGUUUGUGUUGGUAAUAAAACUAUGAAAAAUUCAUAGGCCCCAUUCCAUUUAAGCAAAAUUAUCUGAGUAAAUGUGAAUUUCUAGAAAAAAAUGAGAGGGUAUUGUUGAGUAUAUAAAGUUUUAUUUAUUCGAUAUAAAAUCGCAGCUGGCUUCAACUUUGUAUAAACAAAUGUAUCAAUUUCAAAUAAAAUGCAACAACUAUUUGGCCACAAGCAUUACAUUAUAGUUCACUGAACCAAUUAAAUCAACAUUCAAACAGCAAUUUGAGGCCAGAAAACGAAUAUCAAUGCCGUUAAUUACUUUGUUUUAUGCUAAGCCUAAUGAAACGACCGUUUAAAAGGAUACAUAUUUAUAAAAUAUUUUGAAACAUAUAUAUUUAUUCAGUCCGUAUCAAAUCAUGCACUCAAGUUAAUUGCAUUUAAAUUUAAUUAGCAUUUAAUGUUUACAAAUUUUGCGGCAUAAUGGAGGGCAAUCAACGCCGUUAGGGGGAGCUAAAUAAAGGGGAUUAAAACUUAAAAGUGAGCCGAAAAUAAAUAAAAUAAAUAAACCAAUGUAAAAUUCA